rfam:Wallemia ichthyophaga EXF-994 unplaced genomic scaffold scaffold27, whole genome shotgun sequence.
GUUGGGUUAGUUCAAUCGGUUAGAACGUAUCAUUCAUACUGAUGAGGAAAAGGUUCGAUUCCUUUACCCAGCC